UACGUAGGGGGGCAAGCGUUUGUCCGGAUUUAUUGGGCGUAAAGAGCGUGUAGGCGGCUGGGUAGGUCCGUUGUGAAAACUCGAGCUCAACCUCGAGACGCCGAUGGAAACCCUCCAGCUAGAGUCCGGAAGAGGAGAGUGGAAUUCCUGGUGUAGCGGUGAAAUGCGCAGAUAUCAGGAAGAACACCCGUGGCUAAGGCGGCUCUCUAGUACGGUACUGACGCUGAGACGCGAAAGCGUGGGGAGCGAACAGG
rnacentral:rRNA from 1 species